rnacentral:rRNA from 1 species
GUGCCAGCAGCCGCGGUAAUACGUAGGGUGCGAGCGUUGUCCGGAAUUAUUGGGCGUAAAGAGCUCGUAGGCGGUCUGUCGCGUCGGUCGUGAAAACUUGGGGCUUAACCCUGAGCUUGCGGUCGAUACGGGCAUGACUGGAGUUCGGCAGGGGAGACUGGAAUUCCUGGUGUAGCGGUGAAAUGCGCAGAUAUCAGGAGGAACACCGGUGGCGAAGGCGGGUCUCUGGGCCGAUACUGACGCUGAGGAGCGAAAGCGUGGGGAGCGAACAGGAUUAGAUACCCUGGUAGUCC